UAAGAAAGACUUAAGGACGUUAUGAUUACACAAUUCAUAUACGUAUACUGUAUAUUUGACUAACUAUCGGCUAAAGUAAGGUUGGAAGAAGGCUAAGUCAUGCUUAAGUACUCGAGAACGAGUCCUUAAAUUUAAGAUUUUCAAAGACGAACUUAAGAAGAAAAGGAGCAAAGGGACAAUUUCCAUCAAUAAUUCCGGGUUUACUAUCCAGCUAUACAAGCAUCCACCAUGGGUCACGGUUUUGGAAACUUAUGGAAAUUCAGAGGCAUAAUCACAUACAGGCUGUCGCCUUUUGAACUAAGAGCAUUUGCUGGCACUAUUAAUCCCGGUAUUCCCAAUACUAUUCGGAGGAUUUUGGAGAAUGUCCCCUACAUGUCUCCAUUGGCAGUAGCAUACCUAGUCUAUGAUGGCGUCGAGAAAGCCCAUAAAGAAACAAUGAAGAAAAAUCCUGCCGAUUUCGAAAAUGAUCAAUAGUCGUUGUCUAGUUACAUGGUAUAGUAAUUUUCCAAAUAAAUAAACCCCCAGUAUAUUAACAUUGGUUCAA